UAAACGAUGUCUACUAGUUGUCGGGUCUUAAUUGACUUGGUAACGCAGCUAACGCGUGAGGUAGACCGCCUGGGGAGUACGGUCGCAAGAUUAAAACUCAAAGGAAUUGACGGGGACCCGCACAAGCGGUGGAUGAUGUGGAUUAAUUCGAUGCAACGCGAAAAACCUUACCUACCCUUGACAUGUACAGAACGCCGAAGAGAUUUGGUGGUGCUCGCAAGAGAACUGUAACACAGGUGCUGCAUGGCUGUCGUCAGCUCGUGUCGUGAGAUGUUGGGUUAAGUCCCGCAACGAGCGCAACCCUUGUCAUUAGUUGCUACGAAAGGGCACUCUAAUGAGACUGCCGGUGACAAACCGGAGGAAGGUGGGGAUGACGUCAAGUCCUCAUGGCCCUUAUGGGUAGGGCUUCACACGUCAUACAAUGGUACAUACAGAGGGCCGCCAACCCGCGAGGGGGAGCUAAUCCCAGAAAGUGUAUCGUAGUCCGGAUUGUAGUCUGCAACUCGACUACAUGAAGUUGGAAUCGCUAGUAAUCGCGGAUCAGCAUGUCGCGGUGAAUACGUUCCCGGGUCUUGUACACACCGCCCGUCACACCAUGGGAGCGGGUUCUGCCAGAAGUAGGUAGCUUAACCGUAAGGAGGGCGCUUACCACGGCAGGGUUCGUGACUGGGGUGAAGUCGUAACAAGGUAGCCGUAUCGGAAGGUGCGGUUGGAUCACCUCCUUUCUG
rnacentral:rRNA from 1 species